rnacentral:rRNA from 1 species
AAAUGACAGGCUUUCCGUAGGGUGACCUCGCGGAAGGAUCAUU